UUUGGUGAUGAUGGCAGAGAGGUCACACCCGUUCCCAUACCGAACACGGAAGUUAAGCUCUCUAGCGCCGAUGGUAGUUGGGACCUUGUCCCUGUGAGAGUAGGACGUCGCCAAGCAAG
rnacentral:rRNA from 5 species